rnacentral:rRNA from 1 species
AUGUGGUGCCAUUCUGGUAGAACGUCACACUACAUGAGACGUGAAAAAUUGCUUGUGCUGGUUGGAGUUUAUAUUGGUCCAAAUCUCCGAGGAUACUUUUCUUGUAACUGUUCUGUUAGCUCAUUCAGAUUUUGUGAUGUUAUUGAUCUGAGAUGCAUGGCUGAUGGCUGCACAAAACUUGAUGUUGCCCUUUCUGCUGUUUUUGAAACAAAAAUGCUUCAUGUCAUGCCAAUCUUUGAACUUACGUACCUUAUGUGCAGCUCAACUUCAUAUGAUAUUCAUGUAAAGACACCCUUGAAUUGCACUUCAUUUGUAAACAUAGUAUUCCCUUCCCUUCAUUCGGUUACAUCUAUAUAUGUAUGCACACUGCACACAUCGUUGUCAACCUCUUCUAAAAAAGGAAAAAAAACAUAUUUAAUUCAUACAAAACGUCAAUGGCUCGGAUUUUCUGUUUUUCAAAUAUAA